UACGGAGGGAGCUAGCGUUAUUCGGAAUUACUGGGCGUAAAGCGUACGUAGGCGGCUUUGUAAGUAAGAGGUGAAAGCCCGGAGCUCAACUCCGGAACUGCCUUUUAGACUGCAUCGCUUGGAUCCAGGAGAGGUGAGUGGAAUUCCGAGUGUAGAGGUGAAAUUCGUAGAUAUUCGGAAGAACACCAGUGGCGAAGGCGGCUCACUGGACUGGUAUUGACGCGGAGGUACGAAAGCGUGGGGAGCAAACAGG
rnacentral:rRNA from 1 species